rnacentral:rRNA from 1 species
CCUACGGGUGGCAGCAGUGGGGAAUAUUGCACAAUGGGGGAAACCCUGAUGCAGCGACGCCGCGUGAGCGAGGAAGUAUUUCGGUAUGUAAAGCUCUAUCAGCAGGGACGAAAAACGCCGGUACCUGACUAAGCAGCCCCGGCUCACUACGUGCCAGCAUCCCCGGUUAUACGUAGGGGGCAAGCGUUAUCCGGAUUUACUGGGGGUAAAGGGAGCGUAGACGGCAAGGCCAGCCAGAAGUGAAAGGGCAGGGCUCAAACCUGUACAUGCUUUUGGAACUGUGGUGCUAGAGUGCAGGAGAGGUAAGUGGAAUUCCUAGUGUAGCGGUGAAAUGCGUAGAUAUUAGGCGGAACACCAGUGGCGAAGGCAGCAUACUGGACUGUAACUGACGUUGAGGCUCGAAAGCGUGGGGAGCGAACAGGAUUAGAUACCCGGGUAGUC